rnacentral:lncRNA from 1 species
AUCCCGGCAAGUGAGCGCCCAGGGACUCUCGGCCAGAGAGGCUGUGAGGGUGGCUUUGUGAGGAUGGCUUUGUGUGGCUGCACAUUGCCCUUGGCCAAGCCCCGCUGCCAGGAGAGGCAGCUCGGCUGCCAAACCUCCUGAACCCAAGUUACCUGAGCAAGCAGCCCUAUCCCCUCGCCUGCUUCUCACUGCCUCGCCUGCCUUGGGCCUGCCCGACCCAGGGGGUCACAUGCCUUGUUCCCCAUCAGUGGAGACCAGGGACAAGAAGACAGUUCUGUGGGAAGAGCCAGGAGGACCAUUUGGGAAAAUACAGGUUCCAGGUGUGUCUCCAGACCUUGAGAGUUGGUGUCUCCUGGGAAGAGGCCCUGAUGAGAUCUGGGGAGAUUCGGAUCUGAUGAGAUUCAGGAAGCCCUGGCCUCUCCGUACUUGAGGAGACGGGACACACAGGACAAGCUGCAGGCUGGUGAGCAGGUUCACCUUCUAUUUUGAAGACCCGCUUCUUCCUCAGGUACCUGAUCUUGAAAACGACCUCCCCUUUCAGUUCUGGAGGCCAGAAGCCCAAAAUCAGUCUCGCUGGGCUAACGUGAAGGUGUCAGUCGGGCUGGUUCCUUCUGGAGGCUCCAGAAAAGAAUCUGUUUUCUUGCCUUUUCUGGCUCAGUUUCUCGGCUUGUGGCUCCUUCCUCCAUCUUCAAAGAGCACCACUCCAAUCUGCUCCUCCAUCAGGUCACCUUCUGCCUGACUCCUACAUCCCUUUCAGAAGGACCCUUGUGAUUCCAUGAGGUCCACCCAGAUCACGCAGGAUAAUGUCCCCGUCUCAAGAGGCUUAAUCUAAUCACAGGUCUUGCUUCCCCUCAACCCAGACACCGACUCGCCCAAGGGUCUUCCAGCUGGCUGAGUUGGAACCUGCAUUUUUUAACCACAAGGAAAAGAAGCCCAGAGCUACCAAGAAUAAUAUUUUAUUGACUUGGAAUGAGUUUUGGAAUCUGUAUUUUUAACAAGCUGCCCAGUGAAAACCAUUUCCUCCUCGUCGUGGCGCAGGUCCAGAGGCUGCGCCCAUCUCUCCCACGUCAACAGUCCUGUGUCCUUGGCGAAGGACUGUUCUCUCAUUCAGUGCCUUUCCUCUCUUCCUGGGCCAAAUCCCUGCUUUGCGUCUCCCUGCAGCUCAUAAAAAGCUGAAUUACCUGAGGCAGGGAAAGCCCCACCCACUGUCAUUCUCAGGGAGGAGUGGAGUCUGCAGAGGCCGCAAUGCACAGCUUCCCUAUCCCCCUCCACCCGUGUUUUCCCAGAGCAGCUCUGUUCCAGGCCCGGGGGUGUCCCUGGGCCGAGAUGGAAUCCAGCCCUGACCACCUCCCAAAGCCAACAGCCCUGAGUGAGCGUGCAGAGAAGCAAGAGCUGUUCCUGAUGCAGAGCAAAGACAUCUCCCAGUCAAGGGGGAUGAACUGAUUUGGGACAAAAGGCAGUUGUUGGCUGAGGAAGGCAGGAUCUGGGGGAGCCCUGUGCUGAGUGGAGGUGGGUGGGUGUAUUUCCUUGGCUCACAGAGGCCUCUUGUCUGGUGGGAUCAGCUCCUCCAGCCAGUUGCCACCUGGUCCAGCUUUGGGAGAUGUGGAGAAUGACUUUCGCAGUGAUUUCCACUGGGCCAUGGCAUUGAAACAGCUGCAGGAGGGGACACAGCUGGUGCCACCCCUACUCCGUCCAUUAGAGCUGCUGUGAAGGAAUGCCACCCUCCCCAUGGGGAGUGAGGGGGCCCUACUUGCUGUGGUUGGUUCCAGGGACCAUGGGAAGAGGCAAACCCCUAUUUUCAAGGGCACAAGUUGGCUUUUAUUAAAAUAAAAUUUCAUCAUCACUUAUUCCAGUGGCUCCCAAACUUGGCUAAACAUCAGGAUCACCCAGGAUGUUUGUUAAAAAAUAAAGAUUAUGGCCGGGUGCAGUGGCUCACGCCUGUAAUCCUAGCACUUUGGGAGGCCCAGGCGGGCAGAUCACUUGAGGUCAAGAAUUCGAGACCAGCCUGGCCAACAUGGGGAAAUGCUGUCUCUACUAAAAAUACAAAAAUUAGCUGGGUGUGGUGGUGCAUACCUGUAACCCCAGCUACUCGGAGGCAGAGGCAGGAGAAUUGCUUGAACUUGGGAGGCAAAGGUGGCAGUGAGUCGAGAUAGCGCCACUGCACUGCACUCCAG